CUUGACUAAUACCACUUUACAUGUUAUAUUUAGUUUCAUGUGUGUCUGGGCUGUCAUUUUCAACUUAAGGGGGCUCAGUUAGAUGGUUUUUUUUAAGAAACUACAAUAGUUACUUAUAUUUAAACACAAGACUGGUGUAAAAGUUGAAAUAAUGCUAGAAUAUUUCUAUUUUAAUUUGAAACAACAUUCAGGGUGCAUUCUACAUAGGCUGCCAAAGUUUCAUGUGAUUUGUUCAGGCAGUUUACUUGUUAUAAGGGGGUUUUCAGCUGUUGACUUGGCCAAUUCAGCUAACGUUUGUAGUUUUUUGUAUAUAUAUAGUAAGACAAGUUCUCCAACUGUAACUU